CUUGCCCUACAAGUUAGUGGCAGACGGGUGAGUAACGCGUGGGAAUGUACCUUUUGGUUCGGAAUAACUACGGGAAACUGUGGAUAAUACCGGAUAAGCCCUUAGGGGGAAAGAUUUAUCGCCAAAAGAGCAGCCCGCGUUAGAUUAGGUAGUUGGUGGGGUAAUGGCCUACCAAGCCUUCGAUCUAUAGCUGGUCUGAGAGGAUGAUCAGCCACACUGGGACUGAGACACGGCCCAG
rnacentral:rRNA from 1 species